rnacentral:rRNA from 1 species
UACGUAGGGGGCUAGCGUUGUCCGGAAUCAUUGGGCGUAAAGGGUGCGUAGGCGGGUUAUUAAGUCAGAGGUGAAAUCCUGGAGCUCAACUCCAGAACUGCCUUUGAUACUGGCGAUCUUGAGUCCGGGAGAGGUGAGUGGAACUCCGAGUGUAGAGGUGAAAUUCGUAGAUAUUCGGAAGAACACCAGUGGCGAAGGCGGCUCACUGGCCCGGUACUGACGCUGAGGUGCGAAAGCGUGGGGAGCAAACAGG